rnacentral:tRNA from 5 species
UGCGGGGUGGUCUAAUGGUAGGACAACGGUCUUUGAAGCCGUCCGUGGAGGUUCGAUUCCUCCCCCCGCAGCCA